AAAGCUCCAGUUCCUCUGUGGCAGCCUGUCAGCCCUAAGCCCGAGGAGUCCGAUGCCUUCAAGAUCCUCCCUGGGUAUCUUUCCCGCGGCUCGCCCCUCGAUAGCCUCAAAGCUCCAGUUCCUCUGUGGCAGCCUGUCAGCCCUAAGCCCAAGGAGUCCGAUGCCUUCAAGAUCCUCCCUGGGUCUCUUUCCCGCGGCUCGCUCCUCGAUAGCCUCAAAGCUCCAGUUCCUCUGUGGCAGCCUGUCAGCCCUAAGCCCGAGGAGUCCGAUGCCUUCAGGCUUCUCCCUGGGUCUCUUUCCCGCGGCUCGCCCCUCGAUAGCCUCAAAGCUCCAGCUCCUCUGUGACAGCCUGUCAGUCUUAAGCCCAAGGAGUCCGAUGCCUUCAGGCUUCUUCCUGGGUAUCUUUCCCGCGCCUCGCCCCUCUAUAGGAUCAAAGCUCCAUCUGCUCUGUGACAGCCUAUCAGCUUUUAACCCAAGGAGUCCGAUGCCUUCAGGAUCCUCCCUGGGUCUCUUCCCGCGGCUCGCCCCUGGAUAGCCUCAAAGCUCCGGUUCCUCUGUGACAGCCUGUCAGCCCUAAGCCCAAGCAGUCCGAUGCCUUCAAGAUCCUCCCUGGGUCUCUUUCCCGCGGCUCGCCCCUCGAUAGCCUCAAAGCUCCAGCUCCUCUGUGUCAGCCUGUCAGCCCUAAGCCCAAGGAGUCCGAUGCCUUCAGGCUUCUUCCUGGGUCUCUUUCCCGCAGCUCGGCCAU